CCUACGGGCGGCUGCAGUGGGGAAUAUUGGACAAUGGGGGAAACCCUGAUCCAGCAAUGCCGCGUGUGUGAAGAAGGCCCGCGGGUUGUAAAGCACUUUCAGCGGGGAAGAAAGCCUGGGGGUUAAUACCGUGCGGCCAAGACAUCACCCACAGAAGAAGCACCGGCUAACUCCGUGCCAGCAGCCGCGGUAAUACGGAGGGUGCGAGCGUUAAUCGGAAUUACUGGGCGUAAAGCGCGCGUAGGCGGGUGAGUAAGCCGGUUGUGAAAGCCCCGGGCUCAACCUGGGAACUGCAUCCGGAACUGGCAGGCUAGAGUGCAGGAGAGGAAGGUGGAAUUCCCGGUGUAGCGGUGAAAUGCGUAGAGAUCGGGAGGAAUACCAGUGGCGAAGGCGGCUUUCUGGACUGUCACUGACGCUGAGGUGCGAAAGCGUGGGGAGCAAACAGGAUUAGAUACCCGAGUAGUC
rnacentral:rRNA from 1 species